UGACAAGUGGUGUGUAGGUCCGCACCUGGGAUCCAAACCGGUCUCUCUUCCCAGUCUUCAUGCACCUGCAGGGCUGUCAACACUGGGAGGACUGGAAGAAAUUUGUAAAGAGUCUGGGAGUCUUCAGAGAGGAAAAGAGUGCAGACCUGGACUCCUCCUUUUCCAAUGUCUUUAUUAUUAGAAAGUUUUCUAUGCAUUGAGCCGGUUCUGAUUAAGAAAGGAUCUAAUAAGAAGGAACAUUGAAGACCUUAAGCUGUUAGCCCUGCUGUGGCCGGCAUUACCCGAUGGGACAGGCUAUCCGGUCAUGGGCACGACUGGAGGCAGAAGGCCCUCCUGACUCGGCCACUGUGCUCUGUAAACUAAAAAGCUGUUGGCGCGGAUGCCGUCUUACCUCUGAGGAGCAGGCUGCUUCUCUCUUGAAGAAUCACUGUGGCCACUAUUGGAAUCUGCAACAGCAAAGGCCAGCGCACACCAGGCGAAAAGGUCACCCUGGCCUGUGGGGGAUCCGUUUUCAUCAGUAAACUGUGCCAGGAGCAGAACACCAGCAGCCUUCAGCUUGUAUUCUCUCAGACUCUCUGGUUUUCUCCCUCUGAGGUGGAUCAAGAGGCCCCCAGAGUUUUUGAACAAUUUGAUAGACAAGAGAGACCUUGGACUCCCUGCUAGUCUGGCAAUUGAGAAGUGGUUUUAAUUUGGAAAAAAUAACAGGUGGGACCUCAUUUUUACCCAAAACUAUUGAAGUAGAUCCUACUAUUACCACAUGUACAUAUAUAUUUUACAAAUAUGUCAUCAUAACAUAUAUUGUUUAAUACUUGAUAAGUUCUGUAAAAGUUUCUUUUUUCUCUCUCCUAGAUGUUAUGACCUGAGAAGACUGAAUGUAUUUUCUUGUGGUCUUGUGCUUUGCAGUUUUGAAUAUAUAGUUUAGAUCAAUAAAGAUAUAUUAAUGGAAGAAUA